AGAAAAUGCUCAGUUUGAAUUGGUUUGUAAUAUCUGUUAAUGAUCUUUAAAAAAAUCCACUUAUUCACAAUUCUGUCCCUGGGGGAAUUCCAAUGUGCUAUCAGAAAAAAUUUCUAAAGUCUGAAAUGUCAUUAGCUAGUGAUUUCUUUGAAGUAAAAAGCCCCGAAAAAAAUAAAUUAUAUAAGGUAUACAAGUGCACAGGACAAUCACUUUGAUGAAUAAUAUCUCUUUUUUUCAUAAUGUUUCAUACCUAAAAAUGCAACAAUUGAAAUUCAAGCUGGUAAAUUAUAGAGCCAUCUUUUGAAUUACCUCAAUGUAGGCAUGCCUUCGGUUUAUUUCUCACAUAUAUUGAGUUCUUCCAUAUAUUUAUAGAUUGUUGAUAUAAGAACAGUAGUGUUAGGAACAAUUUUGAUUAUAUUCAUUGUGUUUACUUUUUGGAAACACAAAGUGUUGCCUAAAUACAGGCAUACAGGUGUUGCCAUCCGGGGAUUAAAACAAUAGCCUAUUUCAAUAUUCCAUCCUGGAUCCCAGAGCCAGGUGCCGUGAAUGGAGGUGCAAAUGCUACUCAGCCCGGGAGAGUUGUUCAAUAUUAGAUAACAGAGCCAUGAAAUACUACACCAAAGGGAAAAUUUUCUUCCUGACCCCAGCUGGUGAUCAGUUUUUGCCUGGAAGCAGGGGAGUCUUUGUAAUACAAUACUUGUCAAUGUUGUUGGUUUGGCUGCUAUAAAUAGCUAUUUUUUUUGGAUGAUGGGAGGAGUUGGAUUUUACUAAACCAGUGGCUACAGGUUAAUUAUACAUUUCAUAAAAAAGCAUUUCUCGUAGCCAGUCUAAAUUUGUUACGUUUUAAUCCCGUUUUAUAUAAGGCUGGAAAUAUAUGAGCCUCCAGCAGGCCCGUUAUUUUUGUCAUUAUUUUAUACAUUGGACCUUCAGCUCUCUAUCUCUCUUUUUUUCUUUUUCCUCUCUAUGCAUUACUCACCUCUUAGCUAAAUUGCAGAGGGUCCCAGUUUCAUUCAUUCUCCCUCACAGGGAAGGCAUUCUCUUCCUCUUCCUCCAGCUGCCCGAAAAUCAUAAGCGUGGUUUUUCCUGUUUCCUGCUCUGUAGCUGACAUCAGGGGAGCAAUGUGAACACAGGAAAAUGGAAAUCAACAUUUGAAACUUUUAAAUGGAAGCUUUAUUGGGUUUCCACAUAUGGAAAACUGCAAAUAGCAGAAGUAUGUGACUCAAUAAAUUAUUCUGGAGUGACCACAUCCUCUAACUGCCUCCCAGGACAAGAAGGAGAAUGUGAACAAUGCUCCUGAAGGCCCCUUUCCCUCAAAGAAUCACUGCAAUUGAAGGAAAAAUGCUCCAUGUCCCCUCUGCCAGUUGGUGUUUAUCAAAGGACAACGGAGGAAGAGAGACAAAGUGCCUGGAUGUGUGUGUUAAUCAAGAGUUGUCAGGACCCUGCCUCUAAAAGAAAGCGCUAAAAUGAUGCUUUUGACAAGACUUUUCUCAAAGUGGAUGCAGUCUAAGGGUUGGAAAACAAGGCCCAAUCAGGCUAGGUCUGACUUGUCGCCUGCUUUUGUAAAUAAAGUUUUAUUGGCUCACAGACACACUUAUUUGUUUCUGUAUUAUCUAUGGCUGCUUUCGCGCCACAACAUGGAGCAGUUGUGGAAGAGACCAUAUGGCCGACAAAGCCUAAGAUAUUUACUCUCUGGCUCUUGAC
rnacentral:lncRNA from 1 species